AUUUUGCCAGUGAUGGUAUUAAAUAUACUUUGAGUGUUCAGCUAUGAAAAGAAUUUAAAUCUGAGGCUU
rnacentral:snoRNA from 1 species